GCCGCUCCAGGAUUUGGUAGAGAUGGCGAGAGGUCGGGGGAGCAGGAGGAGCGGGAGGGGAUGUCGAGCAGGCGGUGCAUACGUGCGGCGGGUGAUUGGGGUUCAUCUCCGACGCCAUGGAGGUCGUGCGAAAGGUUAAUAUAGGUCUUCUAUAGUGAAAUGACUUCUCUGGUCCAUUGCAUCUCGGCUGGAGGUGUGCCAACACCAGCAGUGGUCUAACAGGAAGGAGUAGAUUAGAAGAUCAUCAUCCGCAACUAGAUGAAGCUGUCACCAGGUACAAACUGCGGCCAACCCUUCGAGUUCGAGUCGUUCCCCGCGGCAGAAUCUAGGGUGCCGUGU